AACAUGAUCAUGCAAUGAAGAUGCCUAUUUGAUAAUAUCACUCCAUGUUUUAAAAAUCCCUUCGGUGCACCUCAAUAAAGUUGCUUAACAUGGCAUCUAAGAUGGGUCAUCUUGCCGGUGCUUGUGUCUUCGUUACCUUGUGCUGUGCUCACAUUCUCCCUGUCUCAAUGAAUUGCUUAUAGUUCUGGAGUUUGCCCAUAGUUUCACCAUUUUUAUUCAACAGUCUCCUCUGAAUGCCCUCCCAAAUUCUGACACUUGUAUUAUAGUUGAAUAUUUGAUGAGAAUGAAUUUUAGAAGAGUAUGUGUUAGAUACAACAAAAUGGCAAUUCUGACAAUAAGCUUUCCAGAUCUUAUUUAAACCAAUAUUCGU
rnacentral:lncRNA from 1 species